rnacentral:tRNA from 1 species
GUUGUGGUUCAGUGGUAAACCACUUGCCUAGUAUGUAUGAGGCACUGAGUUCGAUCCUCAGACCAACA